rnacentral:lncRNA from 1 species
UUUUUCUUGAUUUUAUUAUUAGAGGUUAAACUGAUAAUACAAUAACUAACAUUUACCCAGGUUACAAUAAAAGUUUAUCAUUUUUCAAAGUCACCAAGGUUAAGGUGCAUGCCUUGAUGAAAUGAGUAUAGGUCAGCCGCCUUCUGUUUUUGGACCCUUUCCACAAAUUAUUCUAGACUAACUGUCAGGCCCCGUGCAGUUACAGUUCAAAUCAAAGACUUGGGAAAUGGCAAGCGGCCUGACAUGAUACAGAGCAAAUAAACUGAGUACAUACAACAUUUUUCCCAACCAGGUGCAUUCCCACAUUUCAGUCCUAAAAAAAUUCUGAUAUGUAGGCAUUCUCAUUACUUAGUGAGAUUUUAGAAAAGACCUUUUAGCCCAU